GUGGGCUUGUUCCUCUGCUCUCUAAGUCUCUAGAACACAGAGAAAGAAAAGCUCAGUACGCACUUUCACUCGUGAUUUAGGGCGAUUUAGAGUUGGAUUUGGAAGAUGUUGAAGUUGAAGGAAAGAUAGAUCAAGUGUUAGGCAUUAUUUCAUCACUUUUUGGAGUCAUUUAGAGAUUCAGGAGUAGGAUUUGGCGUGCGAAGUGAACUACGAAGUUGAAGAUCGAGGUUGCAUGGAGGAUGGAAGAAGCUACAACAUAAGAGUGAAUCAUACAUGAAGAUUGCAGCAGAACAUAUUUUUGUAUGGACUACCGACAGCGAGGACGAAGACGAUAUCUUCAUGCCCAGCACCAAGGCCAAGACAACCACAUCAUCGAAGGGCAAGAGUUCUGUAUCAUCAAAGGGCAAGAGUUCUGCAUCGAAGGAGGAUGACGAUGAUGCCUUCAUGUAGUUUUUAAGCUAUAUUUUUAAUUAUUAAGUUCAGUUCUACCGUUUCAUUCAUAUGUACUUGCAUCAUUAGUUUGUAUUCUCUUAUUGUAGGGGCAUUAUGUUCUAUCUUAAUUUGAUGUUGUAGUUGUUGCACGACGUUCGAUAAUUAGUUUGUAUUAUGGCGGGAAAGAAGGAAAAAUUGGUGGGAAAGAAAA